rnacentral:rRNA from 1 species
AUUGAACGCUGGCGGCAGGCCUAACACAUGCAAGUCGAGCGGUUGAAGGGAGCUUGCUCCUGGAUUCAGCGGCGGACGGGUGAGUAAUGCCUAGGAAUCUGCCUGGUAGUGGGGGAUAACGUCCGGAAACGGGCGCUAAUACCGCAUACGUCCUGAGGGAGAAAGUGGGGGAUCUUCGGACCUCACGCUAUCAGAUGAGCCUAGGUCGGAUUAGCUAGUUGGUGGGGUAAAGGCCUACCAAGGCGACGAUCCGUAACUGGUCUGAGAGGAUGAUCAGUCACACUGGAACUGAGACACGGUCCAGACUCCUACGGGAGGCAGCAGUGGGGAAUAUUGGACAAUGGGCGAAAGCCUGAUCCAGCCAUGCCGCGUGUGUGAAGAAGGUCUUCGGAUUGUAAAGCACUUUAAGUUGGGAGGAAGGGCGGUAAGUUAAUACCUUGCUGUUUUGACGUUACCAACAGAAUAAGCACCGGCUAACUUCGUG